AAGCUUGCUUUUAUGACGUUAGCGGCGGACGGGUGAGUAACACGUGGGCAACCUGCCUGUAAGACUGGGAUAACUUCGGGAAACCGAAGCUAAUACCGGAUAGGAUCUUCUCCUUCAUGGGAGANGAUUGAAAGAUGGUUUCGGCCUAGUCACCUUACAGAUGGGCCCGCGGUGCAUUAGCCUAGUUGGUGAGGUAACGGCCUCACCAAGGCAACGAUGCAUAGCCGACCUGAGAGGGUGAUCGGCCACACUGGGACUGAGACACGGCCCAGACUCCUACGGGAGGCAGCAGUAGGGAAUCUUCCGCAAUGGACGAAAGUCUGACGGAGCAACGCCGCGUGAGUGAUGAAGGCUUUCGGGUCGUAAAACUCUGUUGUUAGGGAAGAACAAGUACUAGAGUAACUGCUCGUACCUUGAC
rnacentral:rRNA from 1 species